UCUGAAGCCCAAAAUAAGUUAUGGGGAGAGAAAAGGAUGUAUUAUCAGUAUGUGUUUAUCAAUCAGGGAUCCGCAAGAAGCGAAGAGCCUGCACCAGUGAUUUCAAUAGUGGGAAUCCAUUCGGGAACUAGUUAGGAGGUGCUGAAAGCACUGAAAACCCAAGUGGGCUGGUGAGAUGACAUAGAGAUGAGCAACAGCAGCAAGCUGCUCCUUCCCACCCACACACAGCUGGAGGGACUGAAGAAAUAGGAGCGAACGUUCCCAGACUUGAGGGAACCAGCAGCACAGAUCUGCUGAAAAGCCCCAGAAGGCAGAGCUGGGGUCCGGGGUGGACAAGAAAAGUGAAGAGGACAACCUGAAGUUUACUGUCCUCCUCUUCCCAGUCUCCGCCUGGGUGCCUGUCUUUGCCAGAAAUUAACAGGAAGCCAGCUGGCAAAGGAGCCUGGGAAAUGUAAUUUGCCAGGGUCAGGCUGAACCGGGAAGGGCAGCCGAUGGACCCAGGAGUGGACGGUGACCAGCACAGCCACGUUCUCUUCAGUGCAGAUGAGCAGAGACUCCGUGUGGGGAAUUUUUAUUGCAUGAGAAGGUAUAAUGUGGAAGACAUCUGAAGGCCCUGAGCAAGUUGCAUCCUCUGCCUGUAAAUCCCUUCCUGGCUUAAGAAUUGAGUGGACCGAGGAGAUGAUGUCAUAUCCUUAGGAAUUCUUGACAGCUCCCUGGAAUUUGGCAAUCCCGAUGUCUAGGCUACAGAUUUCUGGAGUAUGUGAUGUAAUUCUUCAAAUAUUUUCUCAGAGGUUUUUGCUCUACCCGCUCUUGAAAUGUUGCAGGUAAAUAAUCUCCGAUAUGCAGCUAACACCACCUUUUGGCAGAAAGCAAAGAACUAAAGAGCCUCUUGAUGAUCUUCAGAUGAAAGAGGAGAGUGAAAAAGGUAGCUUAAAACUCAGUAUUCCAAAAACUAAGAUCAUGGCAUCCGGCUCCAUCACU